rnacentral:rRNA from 1 species
GAUCAUAGCUCAGGAUGAACGCUAGCUACAGGCUUAACACAUGCAAGUCGAGGGGCAGCAUGAACUUAGCUUGCUAAGUUUGAUGGCGACCGGCGCACGGGUGAGUAACACGUAUCCAACCUGCCGAUGACUCGGGGAUAGCCUUUCGAAAGAAAGAUUAAUACCCGAUGGCAUAGUUCUUCCGCAUGGUGGAACUAUUAAAGAAUUUCGGUCAUCGAUGGGGAUGCGUUCCAUUAGG